rnacentral:rRNA from 1 species
UACGUAGGGCGCAAGCGUUGUCCGGAAUUAUUGGGCGUAAAGAGCUCGUAGGCGGCCUGUUGCGUCCGCUGUGAAAUCCCGGGGCUUAACCCCGGGCCUGCAGUGGAUACGGGCAGGCUGGAGGCAGGCAGGGGAGAACGGAAUUCCCGGUGUAGCGGUGAAAUGCGCAGAUAUCAGGAGGAACACCGGUGGCGAAGGCGGGUCUCUGGGCAACAACUGACGCUGGAGGAGCGAAAGCGUGGGGAGCGAACAGG